AUUUCGUUAAACGAAUGCCAAAGUGCUGUCUAAACAAGACUAUACUUUGUGAAUUUCGUUAAGGUUCUGAUCUCGUGACCAUCGUUAGGUUUGAUGUUGUUUUACACUAAUACCUACUCCACUCUGUUAAACUAUAUGUUUAACCACCAGAGAAUUCCGCACUCUACACUUACAAUCAAAUAAGAUAAUUAAUCAUUAGAAGAUUCAGAACUAUAAAGUAGAUGCUUAAUUAUCAGAAGGCAUAGAAUCCGGAGGCUUGUUUAAUCAAAGACUAUAUGCUAACAAGGUAAUGACAGUAGAUUGGAACAAGAGUGAUGAUACGGCACCGAAAGGCUUAAAGAAGUGGCUUACUUUAUCAACUAAAUUAAAUUAAGAAAACCUGGUUACAUAUAUUCGGGUUUAUCCCUUAUUAAAGCUACCUUUGUAAAACAUGGGUUUUAUCCCAUCUAUUUAAUAAAUAAUAAUCUGAUGUUUUCUAAA